UAUAUAGAACGACCCUUACAGGAAACCAGAAGUAGAUGAAGAGACGCGAGGGAGGUCUUCUGGCUCCUCAGAUGAAGUUUUCAUAACCAAAUAAGAUCGCCCCUCUCGCCCCAUUGCCUUCGUCGCUCCCUAUCACAAGCUACGUCAUCCCCUUCAUCAAAUAAUAGGAAAUCCCUUCCUUCCUCAUAUUAAAUCACACUCUUCCUCGCUCUCGCCCUGGCCAUCGCCCCAUCUCUAUUGGCAUCCCCUUCCUCAAGAGAGGACCCCUUUCCUCAAGUACCCAGUCUGCCCUAGAGUCCAUCCCUUCGUGUUUGGUAUAGCUGUAAGGUAUAGCCUUAGAGUCCAUCAAAUUUUUUGUUGUUUCCUUCGUGUUUGGUUCUGGAAAAUUGGUGUUUGGUUUUGGUAAUUCAUAUGACAAUUCGUGUUUGAUUAUGGAAAAUCGUAGAAUAUGAAGAUGAAAUGUAUGAAUAGUCACUUUGAAAAUUUGUGUUAAGAUCUUUAUGUAUUUCUGGUUUGACUUUUCUAGUUUUGAUUGUGUGCACUCUACUUGUUUGUAAAAAUUUGUGAAUGGGUUUGAUAUGGUAACUCAUGCUUGCAGUGUAUGUGUUUGAACUUGCAGACUCGUUAAUAGUCUCCUUGCAACUUACUUAUUACUUCAAUGCUAUCAUUUACAUAUUGCAAGUGGUGUCCAUAAUCUGAUUAUUGCUUGUAUUGUAGUGUUCAAACUCAUAUUGUGUCCACCCAUCCAUUAAUUUCAUCUAUCUCAAUAAAGUUGUUAAUCCAGGAGUUGUAGGAGUGCCUGAUUAUUUUUGGAGCCUCUAGCCCUUAGAAGUGCUUGGACAAGAGGUGUAUAGUUUGUCAUCAGGUAGUAGAAAUUGAUAAUUGAAUGCAUAAUGUGAUUCUUUCAUUUUUUUUUCUUUUCUUUUCAUUUGUUUGUUUUAAUGGGCUUAGUUGGUUAUGGAGUCACGUUUUCUUAUCUGCUAUAGGCACAACACAGUUCCAGUAUAACAUAGUAUCGAAAGCUAUUUCUGUUUUUGAUAUGCAAUGUCUUCAUCGCAUUCUUCAUCUUGUUUGGUUGAUUGUUCUUUGAAUCAAGCUCCAAAAUGUUCAUGUGGAGAGAUGGCACUUUCUAAAAUUAUCGAAAACCCCAAGAAAUCCAAGGCGACUUUUUUAUUCUUGUCCAAAUUACAAUGAAGAGAUAUUGAAGUAGAAAAUGAAGGAAAAGUUAUAUGUGAAAAAGAAUGUCACCUCCAAAAGAGAGAGGAAGAACUCCAAAAGUGGGAGGGAGAACUCCAAAAGAUGAAGGAAGAACUUCAACGUGAAAGGGUACAAAUUCAAAAAUCGGAAGAGGAUAUCCAAAAUGAUCGGGAUGAGAUUCAUGGUGUGAUGAAAGAUAUUAACCAUGCACGCAUGCGAUCCUGCAUGUAUUAGGGACUUGUAAUUCUAAUAUUUUAUUGUUGGAUAGGAUCAAGAGCAAUUACAGAUAAAGUAAAUGUGUAUCAAAUUAUGUAAUGUUGUUAAGUAGGUUGUAACAGAUAGAUUUACAACCUUUAUCAAUAUUGUAAUAUUCAAACCGAGCAGUUAUGUAUGGAGCUCUUAGAAU